UGUAAAUGAAACGUUAUUAUGGAACACACUCAACUUCGAGGCAAGGCCUGCCUUUCAAUAGCAUUCACUCACUACUAUUGGCCAGGCGUCCAUGCUUACGCAAGGUAACGUAACCCCAUUUGUACAGGUCCUAUCCCCUGACCAAUUGGCUAUCCUAACCCUCAACCACUCGAGGCCAAUGCCUAACCCCUAAUAAUUAACCACUUUGGCG